rnacentral:piRNA from 1 species
CCACCACCAUCAUCAACAUCAUCAUCAUC